UGACAGAUGGGAACCAGUCUGAAGCUAGUGUACACCAACAUGUAUCGUUAGACGACACAAGACAUGGACACAGUAACGAACUCGGUAAUUCUGAUGACCAGACAAACACAUACGAGGGACUGGGAACUCGAGAAGACACGCCAUAUGCAAAAAUGGAACUUUAUGAAAAUUUGAAAAACUGAGAAGCCAUUACGGGAAGAUGAGUGACGUUAUUCCAGAAUUAUUGUGUAUGCACGUAACAAUGGAACGUUUUCUGUUGGACUUUCCGAGACCAAGUUUCGACAUGCCUAUUGACACACCACUGACUAAACUGGUGCCAUACUUAGUUUUUAUACUCAAAGUGAAAAUAAUGGGCAGUUUUAACUCAGAAAGUACAUUUCCAUAGUUUAGGUGCGCUGCUGAACAAAUGAGAUAUGAAAAGAGUCUUUAGACACAUAUAUAUAUGUGUGUGUGUGUUUGUGUGUGU